rnacentral:rRNA from 1 species
GACGAACGCUGGCGGCGUGCUUAACACAUGCAAGUCGAACGGAAAGGCCUAGCUUGCUGGGUACUCGAGUGGCGAACGGGUGAGUAACACGUGGGUGAUCUGCCCCUGACUUUGGGAUAAGCCUGGGAAACUGGGUCUAUUAUCGGAUAUUCAUUUUUCCUCGCAUGGGGAUUGGUGGAAAGCUUUUGCGGUUGGGGAUGGGCCCGCGGCCUAUCAGCUUGUUGGUGGGGUAAUGGCCUACCAAGGCGACGCCGGGUAGCCGACCUGAGAGGGUGAUCGGCCACACUGGGACUGAGACACGGCCCAGACUCCUACGGGAGGCAGCAGUGGGGAAUAUUGCACAAUGGGCGCAAGCCUGAUGCAGCGACGCCGCGUGAGGGAUGACGGCCUUCGGGUUGUAAACCUCUUUCGGCUCCGACGAAGCGCAAGUGACGGUAGGAGCAGAAGAAGCACCGGCCAACUACGUG